rnacentral:rRNA from 1 species
UCAGGGAACGUUAAGGGCGGCGAGCGGCGGACGGGUGAGUAAUGCCUGGGAAAUUGCCCUGAUGUGGGGGAUAACCAUUGGAAACGAUGGCUAAUACCGCAUAAUAGCUUCGGCUCAAAGAGGGGGAGCUUCAGGCCUCUCGCGUCUGGAUAUGCCCAGGUGGGAUUAGGUACUUGGUGAGGUAAGGGCUCACCACGGCGACGAUCCCUAACUGGUCUGAUAGGAUGAUCAGCCACACUGGAACUGAUACACGGUCCAGACUCCUACGGGAGGCAGCAGUGGGGAAUAUUGCACAAUGGGCGCAAGCCUGAUGCAGCCAUGCCCCGUGUAUGAAGAAGGCCUUCCGGUUGUAAAGUACUUUCCUCAGUGAGGAAGGCGGGUGUGUUAAUAGCACAUUCGUUUGACGUUAGCUGCACAAGAAGCACCGGCUAACUCCGUGCCUACAGCCGCGGUAAUACGGAGGGUGCGAGCGUUAAUCUGAAUUACUGGUCGUAAAGCUCAUGCCUGUGGUUUGUUAAGUCACAUGUGAAAUCCCGGGGCUCAACCUCAAAAUUACAUUUGAAACUGGAAGGCUAAAGUACUGAAGAGGGGGGUAGAAUUUCAUGUGUAGCGGUGAAAUGCGAUCAGAUCUGAAGGAAUACCGGUGGCGC